CAGCGCCGCGGGAAAACGAAGGGUGCAAGCGUUACUCGGAAUUACUGGGCGUAAAGCGUGCGUAGGUGGUGGUUUAAGUCCGUUGUGAAAGCCCUGGGCUCAACCUGGGAAUUGCAGUGGAUACUGGAUCACUAGAGUGUGGUAGAGGAUAGUGGAAUUUCCGGUGUAGCAGUGAAAUGCGUAGAGAUCGGAAGGAACAUCUGUGGCGAAGGCGACUAUCUGGGCCAACACUGACACUGAGGCACGAAAGCGUGGGGAGCAAACAGGAUUAGAUACCCCGGUAGUCCCUGUCUCUUAUACC
rnacentral:rRNA from 1 species